UAAGCUCCGAAUUUGAAACUCCUGACUCCCAUGCGGACGUCGCAGUGGUCAAUUCGGAGAUGGACACUUCUGCUGCGGGCAACGGCACUAUGUUCCCUUGGAGCAGGCCGUCAUAGAGCGUGAGAAUCCCGUCCUUUGGCUGCUGGACCGCGUCCAUGCGAAGUUCCUUCGUCGAGUCGAGUUGUUUGGGAUUGCAGCUCUAAGUGGGGUGGUAAAUUUCAUCUAAAGCUAAAUAUUGGCCGGAGACCGAUAGCGCACAAGUAGAGUGAUCGAACGGUUAAAAGCACCUUGAAAAGGGAGUUAAAUAGCACGUGAAAUUGUUGAAAGGGAAGCGCUUGCAACCAGACUCGGUCGUGGGGGCUCAGCGGGCAUGCGUGCCCGUGUACUCCCCCCAUGCUCCGGGCCAGCAUCAGUUCUGGCGGUUGGUUAAAGGCCUCUGGAAUGUAUCGUCCUCCGGGACGUCUUAUAGCCAGGGGCGCAAUGCGGCCAGCCGGGACUGAGGAACGCGCUUCGGCACGGAUGCUGGCAUAAUGGUUGUAAGCGGCCCGUCUUGAAACACGG
rnacentral:ncRNA from 1 species